UCCCUGGUGGUCCAGUGGUUAGGGCUCCACACUUCCACUGCAGGGGGCAUGGGUUCAAUCCCUGGUCAGGGAA
rnacentral:tRNA from 1 species